rnacentral:rRNA from 1 species
GAUGAACGCUGGCGGCGUGCUUAACACAUGCAAGUCGAACGGGAAACCUUUUAUUGAAGCUUCGGCAGAUUUAGCUGGUUUCUAGUGGCGGACGGGUGAGUAACGCGUGGGUAACCUGCCUUAUACAGGGGGAUAACAACCAGAAAUGGUUGCUAAUACCGCAUAAGCGCACAGGACCGCAUGGUCCGGUGUGAAAAACUCCGGUGGUAUAAGAUGGACCCGCGUUGGAUUAGCUAGUUGGCAGGGUAACGGCCUACCAAGGCGACGAUCCAUAGCCGGCCUGCGAGGGUGAACGGCCACAUUGGGACUGAGACACGGCCCAGACUCCUACGGGAGGCAGCAGUGGGGAAUAUUGCACAAUGGGGGAAACCCUGAUGCAGCGACGCCGCGUGAAGGAAGAAGUAUCUCGGUAUGUAAACUUCUAUCAGCAGGGAAGAUAGUGACGGUACCUGACUAAGAAGCCCCGGCUAACUACGUG